rnacentral:piRNA from 1 species
UAUGGCUUCCUGUGUCUCUUG